UACGGAGGAUCCAAGCGUUAUCCGGAUUUAUUGGGUUUAAAGGGUGCGUAGGCGGCUUAUUAAGUCAGCGGUGAAAUUCCACAGCUCAACUGUGGAACUGCCAUUGAUACUGGUUGGCUUGAGUACAGAUGAGGUAGGCGGAAUUGACAGUGUAGCGGUGAAAUGCUUAGAUAUUGUCAAGAACACCUAUUGCGAAGGCAGCUUACUAAGCUGUAACUGACGCUGAGGCACGAAAGCGUGGGGAUCAAACAGG
rnacentral:rRNA from 1 species